GCUGGGCCUGGUGGCGCAUGCCUGUAAUCCCAGUGGCUCUGGAAGCUGAGACAGGAGGAUCACAAGUUCAAAGCCAACCUCAGCAAUGGGGAGGCCCUAAGCAAUGCAGGGAGACCCUGUCUCUA
rnacentral:sRNA from 1 species